rnacentral:misc_RNA from 1 species
GAAAUGCGAUAAGUAAUGUGAAUUGCAGAAUUCAGUGAAUCAUCGAAUCUUUGAACGCACAUUGCGCCCGCCAGUAUUCUGGCGGGCAUGCCUGUUCGAGCGUCAUUUCAACCCUCAGGGCCCUUUUGGACCUGGCGUUGGGGCUCGGCCGCUACCCUGCGGCCGUCCCCGAAAGAUAGUGGCGGUCUCGCUGUAGCCUCCUCUGCGUAGUAGUUACAUCUCGCACUGGAACGCGGCGCGGCCAUGCCGUUAAACACCCCACUUCUCAAGGUUGACCUCGGAUCAGGUAGGAAUACCCGCUGAACUUAA